rnacentral:rRNA from 1 species
GGGUUGUGAGGUUAAGCGACUAAGCGUACACGGUGGAUGCCCUGGCAGUCAGAGGCGAUGAAGGACGUGCUAAUCUGCGAUAAGCGUCGGUAAGGUGAUAUGAACCGUUAUAACCGGCGAUUUCCGAAUGGGGAAACCCAGUGUGUUUCGACACACUAUCAUUAACUGAAUCCAUAGGUUAAUGAGGCGAACCGGGGGAACUGAAACAUCUAAGUACCCCGAGGAAAAGAAAUCAACCGAGAUUCCCCCAGUAGCGGCGAGCGAACGGGGAGCAGCCCAGAGCCUGAAUCAGUGUGUGUGUUAGUGGAAGCGUCUGGAAAGGCGCGCGAUACAGGGUGACAGCCCCGUACACAAAAAUGCACAUAUUGUGAGCUCGAUGAGUAGGGCGGGACACGUGGUAUCCUGUCUGAAUAUGGGGGGACCAUCCUCCAAGGCUAAAUACUCCUGACUGACCGAUAGUGAACCAGUACCGUGAGGGAAAGGCGAAAAGAACCCCGGCGAGGGGAGUGAAAAAGAACCUGAAACCGUGUACGUACAAGCAGUGGGAGCCUCUUUUAUGGGGUGACUGCGUACCUUUUGUAUAAUGGGUCAGCGACUUAUAUUCUGUAGCAAGGUUAACCGAAUAGGGGAGCCGAAGGGAAACCGAGUCUUAACUGGGCGUUAAGUUGCAGGGUAUAGACCCGAAACCCGGUGAUCUAGCCAUGGGCAGGUUGAAGGUUGGGUAACACUAACUGGAGGACCGAACCGACUAAUGUUGAAAAAUUAGCGGAUGACUUGUGGCUGGGGGUGAAAGGCCAAUCAAACCGGGAGAUAGCUGGUUCUCCCCGAAAGCUAUUUAGGUAGCGCCUCGUGAAUUCAUCUCCGGGGGUAGAGCACUGUUUCGGCAAGGGGGUCAUCCCGACUUACCAACCCGAUGCAAACUGCGAAUACCGGAGAAUGUUAUCACGGGAGACACACGGCGGGUGCUAACGUCCGUCGUGAAGAGGGAAACAACCCAGACCGCCAGCUAAGGUCCCAAAGUCAUGGUUAAGUGGGAAACGAUGUGGGAAGGCCCAGACAGCCAGGAUGUUGGCUUAGAAGCAGCCAUCAUUUAAAGAAAGCGUAAUAGCUCACUGGUCGAGUCGGCCUGCGCGGAAGAUGUAACGGGGCUAAACCAUGCACCGAAGCUGCGGCAGCGACACUAUGUGUUGUUGGGUAGGGGAGCGUUCUGUAAGCCUGUGAAGGUGUGCUGUGAGGUAUGCUGGAGGUAUCAGAAGUGCGAAUGCUGACAUAAGUAACGAUAAAGCGGGUGAAAAGCCCGCUCGCCGGAAGACCAAGGGUUCCUGUCCAACGUUAAUCGGGGCAGGGUGAGUCGACCCCUAAGGCGAGGCCGAAAGGCGUAGUCGAUGGGAAACAGGUUAAUAUUCCUGUACUUGGUGUUACUGCGAAGGGGGGACGGAGAAGGCUAUGUUGGCCGGGCGACGGUUGUCCCGGUUUAAGCGUGUAGGCUGGUUUUCCAGGCAAAUCCGGAAAAUCAAGGCUGAGGCGUGAUGACGAGGCACUACGGUGCUGAAGCAACAAAUGCCCUGCUUCCAGGAAAAGCCUCUAAGCAUCAGGUAACAUCAAAUCGUACCCCAAACCGACACAGGUGGUCAGGUAGAGAAUACCAAGGCGCUUGAGAGAACUCGGGUGAAGGAACUAGGCAAAAUGGUGCCGUAACUUCGGGAGAAGGCACGCUGAUAUGUAGGUGAAGUCCCUCGCGGAUGGAGCUGAAAUCAGUCGAAGAUACCAGCUGGCUGCAACUGUUUAUUAAAAACACAGCACUGUGCAAACACGAAAGUGGACGUAUACGGUGUGACGCCUGCCCGGUGCCGGAAGGUUAAUUGAUGGGGUUAGCGCAAGCGAAGCUCUUGAUCGAAGCCCCGGUAAACGGCGGCCGUAACUAUAACGGUCCUAAGGUAGCGAAAUUCCUUGUCGGGUAAGUUCCGACCUGCACGAAUGGCGUAAUGAUGGCCAGGCUGUCUCCACCCGAGACUCAGUGAAAUUGAACUCGCUGUGAAGAUGCAGUGUACCCGCGGCAAGACGGAAAGACCCCGUGAACCUUUACUAUAGCUUGACACUGAACAUUGAGCCUUGAUGUGUAGGAUAGGUGGGAGGCUUAGAAGUGUGGACGCCAGUCUGCAUGGAGCCGACCUUGAAAUACCACCCUUUAAUGUUUGAUGUUCUAACGUUGACCCGUGAUCCGGGUUGCGGACAGUGUCUGGUGGGUAGUUUGACUGGGGCGGUCUCCUCCUAAAGAGUAACGGAGGAGCACGAAGGUUGGCUAAUCCUGGUCGGACAUCAGGAGGUUAGUGCAAUGGCAUAAGCCAGCUUGACUGCGAGCGUGACGGCGCGAGCAGGUGCGAAAGCAGGUCAUAGUGAUCCGGUGGUUCUGAAUGGAAGGGCCAUCGCUCAACGGAUAAAAGGUACUCCGGGGAUAACAGGCUGAUACCGCCCAAGAGUUCAUAUCGACGGCGGUGUUUGGCACCUCGAUGUCGGCUCAUCACAUCCUGGGGCUGAAGUAGGUCCCAAGGGUAUGGCUGUUCGCCAUUUAAAGUGGUACGCGAGCUGGGUUUAGAACGUCGUGAGACAGUUCGGUCCCUAUCUGCCGUGGGCGCUGGAGAACUGAGGGGGGCUGCUCCUAGUACGAGAGGACCGGAGUGGACGCAUCACUGGUGUUCGGGUUGUCAUGCCAAUGGCACUGCCCGGUAGCUAAAUGCGGAAGAGAUAAGUGCUGAAAGCAUCUAAGCACGAAACUUGCCCCGAGAUGAGUUCUCCCUGACCCUUUAAGGGUCCUGAAGGAACGUUGAAGACGACGACGUUGAUAGGCCGGGUGUGUAAGCGCAGCGAUGCGUUGAGCUAACCGGUACUAAUGAACCGUGAGGCUUAACCUUACAACGCCGAAGCUGUU